rnacentral:tRNA from 1 species
UGCCGGCUGGCCAAAUUGGUAAGGCAUCUGAUUCUGAUUCAGGGGACUCCAGGUUCGAAUCCUGGGCCGGCAGCCA